UGGUCAGGCUGGAAGUCGAUUAUGGCGGGCGAAUCGGGGCUUUUUGGCGCUAGAAAAGGAGAAGUUGGGUUGGCGAUUGCUUGAAGAUUCAUUUGAUAAUGGUUUCUUCGAAAGAAGAACACUCAGAGCUGCAAACACCCUAGAUUGGAUGGCUUCGAUCGCAUUUUAGAAGAGAUCAUGGAAAUACUUCGUUCUCAGAACCCAUACAGAGAUCGAAAGACCAGCAGAAAUCGGGUACGGAGUUUUCUAAAGGUGGGCUAUGUAAUUUGCAAAAAUUAA
rnacentral:misc_RNA from 1 species